ensembl:lncRNA
UGGGGGCCAGGCGAGCUGUCCGUUUUCCUAUUCACUUUCCCAGCCGGGUAUCCAGCGAGCACGGAGCAGGCAGGCACCCAGGCGAAAGGCGAGCGGUGCCCGAGGUUCGCGACCGAGAGGGCAGGCGAACGAGGGGCAACCCCGACCCGGCCCCCCGAGCUCCAGUGUCCGACCCCGCGCAGGGGCCACGCGACGGCCGCCCCCUUGCCCAGAACUGGCACGGACGGGCGGGCCGACCCGGGGCCACUCCACAACUUGCCGGCCCGCCGCCCCGGCCCCCCGCGAGAACCCAGGGAGACUCGAACCAGGCAGCAGAGGCAGGAUUUCCCCGGAAACGCGCCCUCCCCGCCGCCCCGUGCGCGCCCGCGGCCGGCCGCGCUGCCCCCGCCGCCCCGACGCCCCCACGGCCCUGCCCGCCAAGCCAGCGCCGACGCGGGCCGCGCUCCGGGGCCGUUUCCGGCGGCGCCGGCGGCAGCUACUCUGGGCGCCCUGGCCGCGGCCGUCACUCACCCCAGGCCGCCGCGGCUCCCAGCCUCCGGCUCCGUCAGGCUCGGUCCGCGAAGGCGCCUGCCGCCCCGUCCUGGCCCGGCACCCCGGCGAGCUCUUCCCUCCGACCAGCGGCGCUCCCGGCGCAGCGGCGGACGCGAGGCCACGGGCGGACGGGCGCGCGCGGGUGGCGGGCGGGCGUGGGGCCGGAUCGUCCCUGCGCCUCGCCGCCGCCUCCUCCGCCGCCGCCUCCCGAGUUCGGGGCUCUGCUGCAAUGUCUGCGAGGCUGACUUUGAGCGCCUCGCUCGCCGCCCGCCCGCCCGCAGCCGCGCUCCUCCCUCCGCCGCCGAGUCCGCCGCGGCCCAGUCCCUCCCCUCGCCGCCCCACGCCAUUCAGCUCUUCAGCCAAGUUUCUUAACCCUUUUCUCCCCCUCCCUCCCAUUGUCAGCCGGUCAGGAGGAAGCCGUGCGGGUCCGGGCCGCUCGCGGGAGCUGCGGAGCCCCCUAUGGUUUUGAACCACGGAGAUUGCCCAACAAGCCAAGAAUUUUCCAGCCCUCCAACAUUGGUGUUAAAAAGUCCACUGCUAUAUGCUAGAUGACUUCCCAAAGCUGUUCACUUAUUAUUAUUCUGUUUUCUCAACCCCACAAAAAUCCAGUCACUGAAAUCCUGAACUCUUUUGAUAGUGGCAUGAGUGUUAAGUAAAUUGCACACCUCUUGUGGAAUUCAUUUUCACUUAAUCUUGCUAAUUAUGUGGAGACUAUUUUGUUUGUUGUUGUUCUUUGUUUUUUAAAAUAAAUCAAUACCUAAAUUUCCUGGCUAACAGAGUCAUUGCAAGGAUACUAGGGCAUUAUAUGUAAUAUAAGAAUGCCUGUUUGGUAAUUUGUACUUCGAAGUCAAUUCUCAUUUGAAUCAUUUGUGAUGUGAAAACAAUGCUGUUCGGUUUAUAUACUUAAACACCUAAUUAUUGUUUUACGUCCAGGGUUCCUGUGGGACCACAUGCUUAUAGUUCAGUCUCAGUAUACCUAUCUGCCACAAAGAUGUAGUCUGGGAGGGGUGUGCCUUUGGUGUAUUCUCUAAAUCUCUCCUGUAUAGCAUUUUUCAAAACCAUUUUGUGAGUGGGUAUUUGCUUGUCUGUAUCCCACUGUAGAAUGCAAGCAGUACAGGCACAGGGUCCAUAUCCCUCUCAUUCACAUUUGGGGACUUCUAGCUACCUAUCCCUGUGCCCAGCAAGCAAUAGACAUUCAGUAGAUAUUGGCCAACAUACUGUCAUACUCCAGAGGACAGAAUGUAUCUUUCUCUUGGGGUCUUGGCUGUGAGGUAAGGAUUUCAGAGAACAUUUUGCAGAGAAAAUAAUGCUUCCACUGGCCAUUAAAAGGUUAAAAGGAUUAGCCAUGUAGGCAGAGUGGGAAAAGGGGUUCUCAGGAGAGGACGUAGACUGUUUAACAGUAGAGAGAUAUGAGAAAACAAAAAUAUGCAUUGAGAAGUAUUGAGCCUGCAUUUAUACUGUGGAGUGAACUAUGACACUUGAGGGGGGAAAUAUGUGUAACGUCCUAGAUCACAGACAAAUAGAACCCCAAUGCAGUUACCUUAUUAGCCACAGUCCCUUAGCCUCUGGAGCAGCACUGACCAAUAAAAACAAAGUGAACCACAAAUGUGAGCCACAUAUGGAAUAUUAAGUUUUCUGGUAGAUACAUUCAAAAAGUACAGAGGAACAGGUAAAAUUAGUUAUAAUAAUCCACUUUAACCCAAUACAUCAAAAAUUACCAUUUCAAUGUCUAUACAACAUACAAAAUCAUUAAUUAGAUAUUUUACAAUAUUUUAUAGUCUUCAAAAUCCAGUGUGUCUUUUACAUUUAUAGCACAUCUCCAUUUGGAUUAGUCAUAUUCCAGGCUCAACAGCCACAUGUGGCUAACAACUACCAUAUCGGGUAGUGCAGCUCCAGAGAAUGUAGGAAAUAUUUAAUAAUAUCGUUUAAGAAAAUUUUCCUUAAGAGGAAAAUCUAAAUCGUGUUCACUCUAAGAGUUUAUUUAUGCCGAUUAUUAGUGUUGAAUUAUGUUAGGUUAUAAAGACCACCUUCUUGUGUUUAGACAUUUACACCCAUUAGAUAAUCAGCAAAGUUUGCGUUUUAUGUACUGUGUCUUCAUUAAUGAUGCUGUAGUUACAACUGUUUCUAUCUCUAUUAACUGUGGUGGUGGACUGUAAAUGUAAACUGUUUUUAUGGCACAAAUAAAAUGCUAUAGAUUUGGGGUUGACUAAGCUUUAAAAAAAUUCUCUCUACAAUAUGAAGCCACCUCUUCUAUGCAGUUACCGCCAAGCGUCUUCCUAGCUGUAGAAGUCCAGGGUUUUGCUGUCUAAUUAUUUUAUGCCCAGUUACUUGUGGAUGACAAAAACCACCCCGACCUUUGUUUGAGGCAGUCGCCUACCUGAAGCUGCAGUAAGGGUUUGCUGCAGCUCCCUGAGUACCAAGAAAGGUCCAAAGAGCUAACGUGAAGACGCUUAGAUACCCUGUCUGCAGGUGACUGUGCAGCUUUCCCCAGUGAGAUUGGAGCCCUUUUGGUUUCAUUGGAAUUCGAGUGCCAAAGAUUGGCAAAUCCACAGCGCUCAUUGUCUACACUAAAAUGAAUCUUGAAAACGGUAUCUUUUUUAAAAAACAGUCUGAGAAUGGUUGUGUACAAGUAGCCAAACGUGUGAAAGAGAAAGGCAGAUACUUUAAUGAAAUGCAUAUGUGGUUGAUGCCGUCUCAUUCCUUCUCAAAACAAGAAAAUGUCUAGUAUAGUUAAGGGGUUAGAAAAGCCAAGAAGUCUCAACGAAGCAAGGAAAACCUGUGAGUUUUAAUGAUGUGUCAUUUGGAUAUGUCUAAGUGAUUGAGAGUAAAUAUUACAUGAAACCUAUCCUUUUAUGUGGAAAUGGCGUAGCAGCUCUCCUUAGGCAGUCCUGUCGUAAAUGCAUGUGAAAGUUUCCUUUAAGGGAUUUCACAAACAUAGGACCAUAUUAUGAAUCAAUUCAGUAAAAACAUGAUCCUAUUAUUUUUAGAGAUAUAUUUAGACAGACUUCAACUAAAGAAAAGUGCAAUACACAUAUAUUUUUCCAAAUUAUUCAGGGUUCUGAAGGGAAG